CAGCCGCCACGGUAAUACGUAGGGUGCAAGCGUUAAUCGGAAUUACUGGGCGUAAAGCGUGCGCAGGCGGUUUUGUAAGACAGAGGUGAAAUCCCCGGGCUCAACCUGGGAACUGCCUUUGUGACUGCAAGGCUAGAGUACGGCAGAGGGGGAUGGAAUUCCGCGUGUAGCAGUGAAAUGCGUAGAUAUGCGGAGGAACACCGAUGGCGAAGGCAAUCCCCUGGGCCUGUACUGACGCUCAUGCACGAAAGCGUGGGGAGCAAACAGGAUUAGAUACCCCCGUAGUCCCUGUCUCUUAUAC
rnacentral:rRNA from 1 species